GGACCCCCCCCCAACGAACAGAAUGUAGUGAUAAGAAUAUUCCUUCAUGAAUCGUGAUAUCACCGGCGACAUCGAGUUGAUCAAGAAUCAAGAUCAAGAAAAUGUCCAUUCCAUGUUUUCUCCGAACUUCCGAACCUGUGAUUUGAUUGCUGGUUUGCUGCCCUGAAUCAAGCGAAAUUCAAGGAUUCAAUCAAGGAACAAUUUUGGUGCUCGAAGAAAGUGAUGGAUCGAAGAAAGUGACGAUGACAAAGAUUACGAAUGAAAGAUUCUUUUCAAUCAAUUGAAAAGUAAUCCUCCUGAAAAUAUUGCCAAGAAAUACCUUAUAUGUUGACCUUGCGAAUGUAUUCUGUGUAAUUCUAUCGAAUCACAUCGUAAAUUGGUAUGUUUCAGAUUCAGAUUUUGUGUUUAUCUAGUGUGUGUGUGUGUGGAUUUGUCGGUAUAAUCUGUCGAGUAUAUUAUUACCCUUAAUUUUGCACCAGCAAAUGUCCGGAUAUAAACGUAUGCGAAGGGAACAUCAAGCUGCUUUAGUGAUGAGAUGGAAACGUGAAUAUCGUUAUUAGAUGAAUCGACACCAAAGAGACAAACAAACGACCCAAGAUAUCUGCAUAGUUAUCGUUGGCAAUGAAAUUACUCGAAAAAGAUAGAAUUUUAGAAUUAGUUGAACAGUAUAAGUACACUUCAGAUCUCAGGUUCAUGUUUAGCUGCAUUUUUACUUGACUAAUGUGUUCAAUUCUAUUUGUUCUAGAUACGCUAAACAAGUUGGAGCAAAAGUAUAGCAAAACAGUAUCAGCAGAACUAAACCGUGAUAAAUAGAAUAGAAAAAUUAUUCUUAGAAUUGACUCGGCUCAUGGUACAAAAAGCCGAAGAGCAAAGUAAACUGAAAGAAAAGUCUAGAAAAUGCUGCGAUGGUCCAUCACAAUCAAUAUCAAUGUACUUUAUAUCCAACUGCGUAUUAUUACGUAGGAUCGAAUUUGCAUCCUGUUAGAAUAGCUAGAUUUGUGAUGUAUUGAUUUGUCUUAAGAAUAAGACUGGUUUAUAUUGAACUUAAUGUAUAUUAACAUAAAAGUUGCCUUUGUUCAACUUCUAGGUUUAAGUUUAAGGUUACAGUUAAAUUCAGUAUAACGCACCUUCAUCGUUGAUCGAGUCAUAAUACACGUAAUUGCUGAGCGUUGUACGCGCAUUGUUUCAAUUUUAAUACACAUUUUUUUUUCAA